rnacentral:rRNA from 1 species
GUGCCAGCAGCCGCGGUAAUACGGAGGAUGCGAGCGUUAUCCGGAUUUAUUGGGUUUAAAGGGUGCGUAGGCGGAUUUAUAAGUCAGCGGUGAAAGACUGUCGCUCAACGAUAGCAUUGCCAUUGAUACUGUAGAUCUUGAGUAUAUUUGAGGUAGGCGGAAUGUGUAGUGUAGCGGUGAAAUGCUUAGAUAUUACACAGAACACCAAUUGCGAAGGCAGCUUACUAAACUAUAACUGACGCUGAGGCACGAAAGCGUGGGGAUCAAACAGGAUUAGAUACCCUCGUAGUCC